rnacentral:lncRNA from 1 species
CAGAUGUAGCUUAAAUCCAUGUUGCUGUGACUGUGGUGUAGGCCGGCAGCUGCAACGCCAAUUCAACCUCUGGCCAGGGAACCUCCAUAUGCCANGGCACCCAAAAAAAAAAAAAAAAAAAAAAAAAAAAAAUUGGAGUUCCUGUUGUGGUGCAGCGGAAACGAACCCAACUAGGAACCAUGAGGGUGGGGGUUCGAUCCCUGACCUCGCUCCAUGGGUUAAGGAUCCAGCAUUGCCAGGAGCUGUGGUGUGGGUUGCAGAUGCGGCUCAGAUCUGGCGUUGCUGUGGCUGUAGGCCAGCAGCUGUAGCUCCAAUUUGACCCCUAGCCUAGGAAUCUCCACAUGCCUCGGAUACGGCCCUAAAAAAGAAAAGAAAAAAAAAACUGAGAUAUACUGUCAUUGCAAAACACUCCACAGAUUUCAAGAAGUUAGUGCAAAAAAGUUUUUAAUGACUUAUUCAGUAUUUUAUAUUGAUUAAUUUCACCUGUUGUAUUAUUUUUGAUUUCUCGUGAAAGCCGUCACUAGACCAUGUCGUUACAUAUAUGGCUUGAAUUUGUAGCUUUGAUGUUUGUGAGAUUUUCUAGAGUCUGUCUUAGUGAAUGAAUGAUCUUUGGUCAAAACUGGAACCAUUAAUCACGUACUGUUUUCUAUCCUUUCUUUCUCAAACAAGUUAUUUCUUAAAUAGGUAAUUAAAUAUCUUAGUUGAAGAGUUUAUAGAUACCAUUUUCAGCAAUGAAUUAAAGUGGGAGUUAAUUACAAUUUUUCCACCCUGGCAUUAAAAUGCCAUUUAUAUUUCUAGAAAGGAGCCACCUUCUCCUGACUGUGAAAUGCUCUGUUGUCACUGCAGGUGACACCCCAUGGGUCCUCACUACGCCCCAGCCUCUACUCUUUGCUCGUUACAGAGUCCUGGUGGCCCCCACGCAGGCAGGCAAGCCAGCCUUGCCCAUUUUCACACUGCCCGGAUUCCCAGGUGGCUGGGUCAGAGGGCAUCUGCCUCCGGUGCUGCCGCAAAGGCUGUGCCUACUGGUACCCACCAGCCUGAUGUAAAGGGGUCCACUCACCCCCAACUCUUGCCGGCUCAGGGUGUCAUUGCCUUGUUCAUUGUUGUCAGACCAAUGACCCAGUUCGCUUUGGUUUUGACUGCGAGGUUUCUUUUUUAAAAUUGUGGUAGAAUACCCAAAACAUAAAAUGUGCCCUCGUAGGCAUUCCCGUUGGGGCUCAGUGGGUUAAGAACCCAGCUAGUAUCCAAGAGGAUGCAGGCUCCACCCCUGGCCGCGAUCAGUGGGUUGAGGAUCCCGCGUGGCUGCUGGCGGCGGCGUGGCUCUCAGAUGCGAGGCUGAUCUGGCCUUGCUGUGGCUGUGGUGCAGGCCUGCAGGGGUGGCCCUACAAA